rnacentral:SRP_RNA from 1 species
GCCAGGCGCAGUGGCGCAUGCCUGUAGUCCCAGCUACUCAGGAGGCUGAGGUGGGAGGACUGCUUGAGCCCAGGAGUUCUGGGCUGUAGUGCACUAUGCCGGUGUUUGCACUAAGUUUGGCAUCAAUAUGGUGACCUCCCGGGAGCGGGGAACCACCAGGUUGCCUAAGGAGGGGUAAACCCGCCCAGGUCGGAAACAGAGCAGGUCAAAACUCCCAUGCUGAUCAGUAGUGGGAUCCCGCCUGUGAAUAGCCUCUGGGCAACAUAGCGAGAGAGACCUCCUCUCU